AGGUGUGAUCAUACCAACACUAAUGCAACAGAUCCCAUUAGAACUCCUCAGUUAAGCGUGCUUGGUCGAUAGUAGUACUAGGAUGGGUGGCCUCCUGGGAAGUCUUGGUGUUGCACUUC
rnacentral:rRNA from 2 species